UACAAUACUACUUCUUCGCAGAUGACACUGGUUUUUUGGCUUCUCAUCGCGACGCUGAAGUUGUCAUCGAUUCCCUCCAAGAAGCGCAGAACUCUAUCCAAGAGUAUCAAAGAAAAUGGAAAGUUAAGGUUAAUCCUGCGAAGUCCCAAGCUAUUUUCUUCACCCGCCGUAGAAGCCCUAGAUUUUUACCUCAGAGUCUUGUCUCUUGCAAUGGUGUGGACAUUCCGUGGUCGCCAAAUGUCGACUAUCUAGGUGUAACGCUGGACCAGAAGCUGAAAUUCGACUGCCAUGUGUCCAACUGCCUUAAAAAAUGUGACAAACUCACUAGAAUGUUGUAUCCGCUGGUCAGAAGGGGCUCUCGCUUGGAUUCCAACAUCAAAAUCCUGCUGUACAAAACCGUUUUUCGGCCUACGGUUUCGUAUGGGUUUCCAGCUUGGUACGACUGCGCCAACGUUCACCGGAAGAAAGUACAAGUUAAGCAGAACCGCUUGCUCAAAAUGAUUCUGGAUCUGAGCACCUUCCAUCCAACUACAGAUGUACACCGUCUUACUGGAGUGGAGUUAAUCGAUGACUGGUUCCGGAGACUCAUUCCAAAAUUCCAACAGAGCUGCGCCUCAUCUUUAAAUCCUCUGUUACAAGAGUUGGCCGUAUGAAAGACAUGUGAUAUUAGAAUUAAGCUUUUCUCUUCUAUAAUGUUUCCUACGCUAUUUCAAAGGUUUUUUUGUCUGAAAUUUUUCCUUUUUUGUCAAAAUUGUUGCUAGUCGUUUGUUAGUUUUCAUCAAAGAAGUGCUUGUUCUAUGUCAUUGUUGUAAGGAAUCCCAAAUCUCAAUGUUCAACUCCUAAAAACUCAUUGUAUUCGUUAAGGUAGAAAUGAAUAUUGAAUUGAA